UGGGGAAUAUUGGACAAUGGGCGCAAGCCUGAUCCAGCCAUGCCGCGUGAGUGAUGAAGGCCUUAGGGUUGUAAAGCUCUUUCACCGAUGAAGAUAAUGACGGUAGUCGGAGAAGAAGCCCCGGCUAACUUCGUGCCAGCAGCCGCGGUAAUACGAAGGGGGCUAGCGUUGUUCGGAAUUACUGGGCGUAAAGCGCACGUAGGCGGAUAUUUAAGUCAGGGGUGAAAUCCCGCAGCUCAACUGCGGAACUGCCUUUGAUACUGGGUAUCUUGAGUAUGGAAGAGGUUAGUGGAAUUGCGAGUGUAGAGGUGAAAUUCGUAGAUAUUCGCAGGAACACCAGUGGCGAAGGCGGCUAACUGGUCCAUAACUGACGCUGAGGUGCGAAAGCGUGGGGAGCAAACAG
rnacentral:rRNA from 1 species